CCUUUCCUUCUUCUGCACUGGUGCAUUCAGGGGGUUCCCCCCAUUUCCGGAUAACAGGGAUUGGAUGAGGAUACAAAGAAGAAGAGCAGAGGCCCACAGCAAGAAGAGCCACGGACAUGGAUUUUUCCUUCUCUCUCUCUCUGAUCCCGCCCAGGAUUGACAGACAGAUAAAAGUUCGGAAACAAAGAAAAAACGGAGAGAAAAGGCGCCCGGAGAAGUCAUACCUGGCCUCUCCUGGGCGCUUUGCCUUGAUUUCAGGGCCAGUCGAGUCGGAAAACCACGACGGAAGAAGGGAGACGACCCUGCUUGCUUCCUCACACUGCAGCGCGAGGAACCAAAGAGGGUGAUCGCAAGAUAGAAGCCGCGACGCCCCCUCUGAUGGAGCAGAAUUUUUGGGCCAGAGAAAACGGCAUGAGAGAAGGGAGGAAGAGGGAAGGGAGGGAGAGAGAAAGAUCGGAAUUCCAGCAGACCUUUCUCUUCCGACGCUACCCAGAUAAUUCCGUCUACCAGUUCUGCUCUUUCUCUGCUGCCCAGCGCCGGACGGAUGAAGCCGAGGGGGGAUAUGGACAGCCGCAGCAGGAGAGCGACGGAGACAGGGAAAUGGUAGGCGUCUCUCUCUCUCUCUCUCUCCCUCUCUCUCUCUCUCUAUUUACCCGCCGGUUACUAGACAGGGAGAGAGGAAUCCAGCGGUAGGAGGGAGAACGGCUGGCACGACGAGAGGAGNN
rnacentral:lncRNA from 1 species